AUGUGGAACUGAUUCCUUUCUUCCAAUGAUUCGGGACUCAGAAGACAAACACAGCUGCUCGGGUGUUCAUUUUAGUAACUGGUGAGACCUUAGUUGGAGAAGUCUGACCCGCUGCUGUUCCGAGGGAAUAUCAGAAGACAGACAUUCCAGUUCAACCGUUUGAGGAACAACAUCAAGUGUUGUCGCUGUUUCAGACGUACAUGACACAUUCGUGUUGGCUCAAUAAAAUCCCACUGUGUAACGUAUCACGCUUCCACGAGCCAUUGGGCGGUUGACGGACAUCUGGGCUGAUUCCGUUUCCUAACUGCUGGGAACAGAGAAGUACUCACCAUGGAUGGGCAAAUGAUACAAAGAGCUCUCAUCUGCUCACCAGUUGAUGAUUUUCAAAGAGCAACACGGAGAAUGCCUGGGCCCUUCCUACAGGGAGACACAAGACUUAAAUAGAAUAGUCAUUGCAUCUGACUGCUAUAAUAAAAUUCCACAGACUGUGUGACAAGAGCACUAGAGAUUUAUGUUCUCUCAGUUUUACAAGCUAGACAUCCGUAGUCAAGGGAGGGUCCUAGGAGAGAAGACAAGACACUUGACACCACUGAGGGUGACAGCUGGAGGUGUUCUACAGAGCAGAGAUGCUGCGUGUAAAGCUUCUAUUGCCCUGAGAAAGGCCACGACCAAGGCAUUUGGAGAAAUGGCUUGGCGGUUCAGAGCACUGGCUGUCCUUCCAGAUGAUCUGGGUUCAA
ensembl:processed_transcript